AUGCGCGAAAGCGUGACGGGGGAACCCCAAGUGCCGUUGGUCUUUUGAUCGACGGCUUUUCGGAAGUCUAGGUAAGCUUCCGGAAUAAGGGCUGGGCAAGUCUGGUGCCAGCCGCCGCGGUAAUACCAGCAGCUCAAGUGGAAGGCUCAGUAACACGUAGGGGGCCAGCGUUGUCCGGAAUUACUGGGCGUAAAGCGCGCGCAGGCGGCCUCGUAAGCAGCGGGUGAAAUCCCGGGGCUCAACUCCGGAACUGCUCGCUGAACUGCGGGGCUCGAGUCCGGGAGAGGGCAGCGGAAUUCCUGGUGUAGCGGUGGAAUGCGUAAAUAUCAGGAAGAACACCUGUGGCGAAGGCUGCUGCCUGGAACGCGACUGACGCUGAGGUCGCGAAAGCUAGGGGAGCGAACGGGAUUAGAUACCCCGGUAGUCCUAGCCGUAAACGAUGGGCACUAGGUGUUGGGAGCAUCGACCCUCCCAGUGCUGGUUUGCUAACGUCGUUAAGUGUCCCCGUCCUGGGGAGUACGGCCGCAAGGUUGAAACUCAAAGGAAUUGACGGGGGCCCGCACAAGCGGUGGAGCAUGCGGGUUAAUGGGAUGAUACGCCAAGAACCUUACCAGGGCUUGACAUGUCGGUGGUAGCGACCUGAAAGGGAAGCCACCCGGGCAACCGGGAGCCGGCACAGAUGGUGCAUGGUUGUCGUCAGCUCGUGCCGUGAGGUGUUGGGUUAAGUCCCGCAACGAGCGCAACCCUCGCCAGAUGUUGCCAUCGGGGUCUUCGGACCGCCGGGCACUCUUCUGGGACUGCCUGAGUAAUCAGGAGGAAGGAGAGGAUGACGUCAAAUCUGCAUGCCUCUUACGCCCUGGGCUGCACGUCGUGCUACAAUGGCGGGUACAAAGGGUUGCUAAGCCGCGAGGUGGAGCCAAUCCCCCAAAACCCGUCCCAGUUCGGAUCGGAUGUCUGCAACUCGACUCCGUGAAGGCGGAAUCGUCUAGUAACCGUGGAUCAGUCAAGUCCACGUGUGUAAUAGUUUCCCGUUGUCCUGUUACACACGCUCCGUUCAGAUUCAGCUAAGAUGGUUCGAGUCUCCGCUGAAUACCAGCUUGCUGUUUGCCUGAAGUCUGUAUUGC
rnacentral:rRNA from 1 species